UACGUAGGGGGCUAGCGUUGUCCGGAAUCAUUGGGCGUAAAGCGCGCGUAGGCGGUCAGGUAAGUCCGGUGUGAAAGUCAAAGGCUCAACCUUUGAAUGCCGCUGGAUACUGCUUGACUUGAGUCCGGAAGGGGCGAGUGGAAUUCCUGGUGUAGCGGUGAAAUGCGCAGAUAUCAGGAGGAACACCAAUGGCGAAGGCAGCUCGCUGGGACGUUACUGACGCUGAGACGCGAAAGCGUGGGGAGCAAACAGG
rnacentral:rRNA from 1 species